rnacentral:rRNA from 1 species
GAUGAACGCUAGCUACAGGCUUAACACAUGCAAGUCGAGGGACCGGCGCACGGGUGAGUAACACGUAUCCAACCUGCCCUUUACUCGGGGAUAGCCUUUCGAAAGAAAGAUUAAUACCCGAUAUAAAGGAUGGGGAUGCGUUCCAUUAGGUUGUUGGUGAGGUAACGGUUCACCAAGCCUUCGAUGGAUAGGCGGUCUGAGAGGAAGGUCCACUCCAAUGGAACUUAGACACGGUCCAAACUCCUACGGAAGAGAGCAGUAAGGAAUAUUGGUCAAUGGGCGCUAGCCUGAAACAGCCAAGUAGCGUAAAGGAUGAAGGCUCAUGGGUCGUAAACUUCUUUUAUAUAAGAAUAUGUAUUAUAUGAAUAAGGAACGGCUAACUCCGUGCCAGCAGCCGCGGUAAUAC